rfam:Haemonchus placei strain MHpl1 genome assembly, scaffold: HPLM_scaffold0003810
GUCUCGGUAGCGUAAGGGAUAGAGCACGGUGUCCGGAAAGCACAAGUACAGGUUCGAGUCCUGUCCGAGGCU